AAUUUGAGUGACUUGACACUACUCAAUAGUUUCUUUAAAGAAAAGAUACCGAUUUUAUGUAACAUACCAAUUUUUACAUAAGGUAAAUAAGAAGGAAUGAAAAUCAGCAGUUUGCUUCAUUAUAGUGUUUUUUGUCUCCAGUAAUUUAUGGAAUUACUGGG